rnacentral:rRNA from 1 species
UACGUAGGGAGCAAGCGUUGUUCGGAGUUACUGGGCGUAAAGGGUGCGUAGGCGGCUUCUUAAGUCUGGUGUGAAAUCUCCCGGCUCAACUGGGAGGGUGCGCCGGAUACUGAGGGGCUAGAGUGUGGGAGAGGAAAGUGGAAUUCCAGGUGUAGCGGUGAAAUGCGUAGAUAUCUGGAGGAACACCGGUGGUGUAAACGGCUUUCUGGACCAUUACUGACGCUGAUGCACGAAAGCGUGGGUAGCAAACAGG